UCCCCUUUCCCGGCUCUCGGUCUCCCCGGUGGAACUGGACUUUCAGGUCUGUGCAGGUGAAGGUGCUCGCGAAACGCCCGGCGCUGCAGAACCAGAGCUACAGGUAAUUCUUCUUGCCGUGCCCCCCUGGCCCCGCUCCGCCGCCGGGGCAGCGCAGCGCCGCGCAGGUACGGGCCCAGCCCCCUCCCCCGAGCAUGUGGGGAGCGGCGCGGAGAGCGGCCGGGCCGGCAGCGCAGGUAACUUCCCGAGCGGAGCCGGAUUCUUCCACUAAAGGAGCGGGGCAGAGGGCCGAGCCCGGAGCUGAUUGGGCGGGGCGGGCGGGCAGGUGAGCUGCCAUUGGAAGAGGAACGCAGGUACGGCGCCACCGAGCUCCAGUGUGGGCAGUGAGCACUGAGCUUGGCACCACAGCACAGUGGAGCAGGAAGUAAUGGGGAAUUCCCUGAUAGCCCCAAGGUCACAGGAAUGAACAUGCAGCGACUUGGGAAAAAAGAAGCACAUGGGAGAAUGUCAGAAGGUCCCGUCACCCUGGCUGUCCUGCAGCCUUGUUUGUAAGGAUGAAUGAAAGCCUUCCAAGUGUAAGCAUGGGGAAUUAAUUACAGCAUUCACCAGGCCCAGUUCUUCUCCUGGAGUCUGACACGUGGCUUCCUCAUGUGAUGUCUCUUGGCACUGCAGAGACGUGGCAUCACUCACAGCUCUGACAGCGGCUGUUUCUUUGAGCCUGUCAGCCUCCUGCAGUGGCUGGAGUAGCAGUGCAUUUCUGCAGGUGCACAGCACUGCAUCGCCGUAGUCCCAAUGAAGCCAUCGAGUCUGUGGGAGCCUAUGAAUGAGAGCACUAUCCAAUCAAGAAGGUGUUUCGUACUUGACAAGCAAGCCAUUGUGUGACUGGAGAAGCCACAUCCUUCUUCCUGGUCUCUGUAGUUCCAUCUGCAGAGUUAAGAGUAGUGUGUCCCAUCUUCCUAACCAAAGGAGGUAUGGAUGCUCUUCAUACCACAAGCAAGCAACACUGAGGCAAGGACUUACACAAAGGCAAGGACUGAUGUUGUUGAGGGAAAGAGUAAAAGGCACACAGGCACCAAGGCAAGAAGUGAACAGUGCCAUUCCCUUCCCUGCAUCUCCCCAGAUGUCCUCAGAUGGAGCCUGGAUCCUCCACUCUACAUUUCAAACCUGUAAGUCAACACGUUUUGCCAAGCUGUCUGAUCACCAAUUGAACUCCUUUCUACUUCUGACAUCUAGACCAUUAUGAUUUUUGUAUGUCUGCAGGAUGUGACAGGUACCUAGAAAAAUCACUUUGUCCCAGUAGCAUCCCUUGUUAAUGUCAAAGGGAGCUGCACAGAGAUGCUGAGCUGUGGUCAGUGCUGAACUCUGUGCUCCUCUGGUGUCUGGAAAUGGGAGAUGUACUUAUAGGGAGACCAGAUUCGGGGGCAGCCUUGUGUAAGGGUAUUUCUUCACCCUUCACAUGAGGAAUUUAAUCUUUCCAUUUGGUUACUGCUGCUCUCCGCUGUAUCAGCACAGCCGCCAGAGCCGUUGUAAACAUUUGAAGAGUGGCGUCGAUUAGAGGUGACUCAGGAGCAAACGUGAUAUGAAGAAUUCAGAAAGAUUGGAAGAACGGCCAGUGUGCCAAAUAUUUUGCUAUAUAGACACCUAGAAGGAUGAAGAAGAGGAUGGUUUGGGAGUUACCCUUCCCACUUGAGCUAUGCAAUCAUAGUGACUACACGUCCUGUGUGGAAGCACACACUGACUCGAAGGGCCAUCAUCCCACCAGUGCAUGAAGCUUGCAGUGAGUCAGCCCCUGCAUGUUACAAGGCAGGAUGGCUCCAGCUGCUAUUCAGGCUCUGGACAAAGUUUGACACUGCUUCAGGGGGAUAUGGGGACUCCAGAGAAUAUGAUGAGGGCUGAGUUGCUCACAGGUAACUACCAAUAAGGAGCCUACCAGGUGAAGUGGAUCAGAGAUGGCAUCUGAAAGUCUCUUACCCCAGCAAAUCAUAUUCUUGAAGAGCAGUGUUGAGAAAGGACCACCUCGAAGGAAUUCACCACCACAGGUUAUUCCCAGGCAGCACUGCCCUAUGUGAGGAGUAACAGAAAACACAUGACUUUACUCUCUGUGAAGUGUUUGUGAAGCUUUUGUCACCAUAGCACUGAGUCACCAAAUACAGAAAGGUCCCUCCCAUGAUUCAUAACUGAACCCACAGCGGCUGUUGCUAUUUUCUGCAGUCCUUCUCGCUCUGCCGGUGGGUGGCAGCUGA
rnacentral:lncRNA from 1 species